CACGCUGAAUGUAGCCAUGGGAGAAGAGAAGAAGAAGCAAGCCUUCACCUAAUCUUCAAUCUUUGAUAACUUUUGAUCCGGAGCUCCAAUUGACGCAUCAUUUGCGGCUACGCGAUCGUGUCGCCGAGCACUACAAAGCCCAUAACUUUGUUCUUGAGGAUCUAAUUAGCUUGAAGAGAAGACUCAAUCUCACUCCUUUGAUCCUUGGGUAUGGAUAUGUAUGUAUGAAUGUUGGAGCUUGAUUGAGGUCUUAGAAAGGCUUGGAAGUGGAUUUGCAAGCUGAAAAUCUGACCUUGGAGGUGUCGGAGCCUUGAAAAUUAAGGAAGAGUGGAAUUUGAAGUGUUUCGGUUUGAGCGAGAAAUCGGCCAAGAUGUAGGACAGGCGGCACCUCACUGAAGCAUGCUGGAAGCUUCUGAUGUUGUGAAGAUCUUUAUCUUUUGGGUUUAUUUUGGUUAUUUGUAUUUGCUUAGAUACUUAUUAUCUUCACCUAUUAUAUAUAUGCUGUAUUAAUUCUUCUUAGAGGUGAUUUUGGAGAUUUAGGUUUUGUAACUCUGUAUUUUUGAUUUUCUUUUGGGUUUUCCUAUAUACCUAUAUAUGUAUAACUGUGUGCUCAGACCGGUUUAUCUUUGCGAGCCGAGUUUUGAGUUUUGUUACAUGUGUUUUGGAACACUUAGUAUAUAAAUUCGUUAGCUUGCUCUA